GCUUCGGCUGUCACUUUAGGAUGGACCCGCGGCGCAUUAGCUUGUUGGUAAGGUAACGGCUUACCAAGGCGAUGAUACGUAGCCGACCUGAGAGGGUAAUCGGCCACAUUGGGACUGAGACACGGCCCAAACUCCUACGGGAGGCAGCAGUAGGGAAUCUUCCACAAUGGACGAAAGUCUGAUGGAGCAACGCCGCGUGAGUGAUGAAGGGUUUCGGCUCGUAAAACUCUGUUGUUGGAGAAGAACAGGUGUCAGAGUAACUGUUGACAUCUUGACGGUAUCCAACCAGAAAGCCACGGCUAACUACGUGCCAGCAGCCGCGGUAAUACGUAGGUGGCAAGCGUUGUCCGGAUUUAUUGGGCGUAAAGCGAGCGCAGGCGGUUUUUUAGGUCUGAUGUGAAAGCCUUCGGCUUAACCGGAGAAGUGCAUCGGAAACCGGGAGACUUGAGUGCAGAAGAGGACAGUGGAACUCCAUGUGUAGCGGUGAAAUGCGUAGAUAUAUGGAAGAACACCAGUGGCGAAGGCGGCUGUCUGGUCUGUAACUGA
rnacentral:rRNA from 1 species